rnacentral:lncRNA from 1 species
GGAAAAUCGGUUUCUCUCUUCAACAGCUACCCAGCUGUAACACCUCUCAGGCACACAUGGGCCUUCUGGGGCCAUUCCUUACCUGCGCCCCAAGCUGCAACUCUUGACUCACGCUUAAGCUCCUGUUACUUCACUCAUGCUUAAGCUCCUGUCGGAUACUUGGGUAGGGCGUGUGCUGAGCAAGCUCUCCCGUGUGAGGCACAGAGCUUUGCAGAGAAGAUGAUCACUAACCAGAGCAGCACAGCACAGAGUCAGAUUGGCUGGUUGAGGUCCCGGGGAUGCUGAGCACAGAGCAGCCAGCCCUGGGGAGUGGAUCACAUCCCUAGGAAGAACCAGCUGGGCUCAGCACCUUCCU